GAAAUGCGAUAAGUAGUGUGAAUUGCAGAAUUCAGUGAAUCAUCGAAUCUUUGAACGCACAUUGCGCCCCUUGGUAUUCCAUGGGGCAUGCCUGUUCGAGCGUCAUCUGCACCCUCAAACUCUGCUUGGUGCUGGGCGUCUGUCCCGCCUCCGCGCGCGGACUCGCCCCAAACCCAUUGGCAGCGGUCCUUGCCUCCUCUCGCGCAGCACAUUGCGCUUCUCGAGGUGUGGCGGCCCGCGUCCACGAAGCAACCGUUUACCGUCUUUGACCUCGGAUCAGGUAGGGAUACCCGCUGAACUUAAGC
rnacentral:misc_RNA from 1 species